rnacentral:rRNA from 1 species
ACGAACGCUGGCGGCGUGCUUAGCACAUGCCAGUCGAACGGAAAGGCCCUGCUUUUGUGGGGUGCUCGAGUGGCGAACGGGUGAGUAACACGUGAGUAACCUGCCCUUGACUUUGGGAUAACUUCAGGAAACUGGGGCUAAUACCGGAUAGGAGCUCCUGCUGCAUGGUGGGGGUUGGAAAGUUUCGGCGGUUGGGGAUGGACUCGCGGCUUAUCAGCUUGUUGGUGGGGUAGUGGCUUACCAAGGCUUUGACGGGUAGCCGGCCUGAGAGGGUGACCGGCCACAUUGGGACUGAGAUACGGCCCAGACUCCUACGGGAGGCAGCAGUGGGGAAUAUUGCACAAUGGGCGGAAGCCUGAUGCAGCAACGCCGCGUGCGGGAUGACGGCCUUCGGGUUGUAAACCGCUUUCGCCUGUGACGAAGCGUGAGUGACGGUAAUGGGUAAAGAAGCACCGGCUAACUACGUG